rnacentral:siRNA from 1 species
GGGGGUAGUCAGGCGGCCGCCUA